GACGAACGCUGGCGGCGUGCUUAACACAUGCAAGUCGAACGGAAAGGCCCUGCUUUUGUGGGGUGCUCGAGUGGCGAACGGGUGAGUAACACGUGAGUAACCUGCCCUUGACUUUGGGAUAACUUCAGGAAACUGGGGCUAAUACCGGAAAGGAGCUCCUGCUGCAUGGUGGGGGUGGGAAAGUUUCGGCGGUUGGGGAUGGACUCGCGGCUUAUCAGCUUGUUGGUGGGGUAGUGGCUUACCAAGGCUUUGACGGGUAGCCGGCCUGAGAGGGUGACCGGCCACAUUGGGACUGAGAUACGGCCCAGACUCCUACGGGAGGCAGCAGUGGGGAAUAUUGCACAAUGGGCGGAAGCCUGAUGCAGCAACGCCGCGUGCGGGAUGACGGCCUUCGGGUUGUAAACCGCUUUCGCCUGUGACGAAGCGUGAGUGACGGUAAUGGGUAAAGAAGCACCGGCUAACUACGUG
rnacentral:rRNA from 1 species